CUUGAACCCAGGUCUGACGCCUCCCAGGUGAGUUUCCUAACCACUGGGCUGUUGUCUAAUCUGGGGUGGAGGUGUCUCAAUCUCUCCUGUUAAAACUGUUUCACUUUGAAUAAAUAACUAAAUAUUUGUUGAAGUGCGACAUGAGCCCAUGUUUGCCACUCUCAGGGGAGUUCCCUAAUUACCAGGAUAUACAGUCAUUCUCACUCUCUGGGCACGUCUACACAGAGGGGAAAGAAAACAAACUGCAGCGGAUAGUCUCAGAGCUGGGUCAAUUGACUUGGGCUUGCGCCAUGUGGCUAAAAAUACCUGUGUAGAUAUUUGGGCUGGACUGUGGGCUCUAAAAUCUGGCUAAGGGGGAGGGUCUUGGACCCAGGCAUGAGCUCGACCUCUACACUGCUAUUUUUAGCCCCACAACGUGAGCCCUGUGAGCCCAAAUCAGUUGACCCAGGCUCUCAUGCUCAGUGCACAGGUCUCUUUUUUUUUUUUCUUUUUUUGCUGUGCAGAUAUAUUCUCUGUGUCUCACCCAGUGACUAUUCAAGUAUUUUAUUUAGGUGUCCCUCACCAGUGGACUAUUAAUAGAAGACAACCACCACAAUCUGCUGCUAUUCCUGUUUUGUGAAUAGUCCUAAGCCUUUCUGUGAAUGUAGCCCAAAACAUUAUUUUGGCUGCAACUAUUUGGCAAAUUCAUGAAUAGUUUUGUUUGACCUGAAACUGUGGCAAAUAAAAUAUUCCUCCACAAAAAAAUUCCCUCUCAAUUUCUCAUCAUUUGCAGCAGCGGGCCAAAAUGAAGUUCAAUCCUUUUGUGACCUUGGACUGCAGCAAGAACCACAAGAGGCACUUCAAUGCACCCUCUCACAUUCGCAGGAAGAUCAUGUCUGCCCCCCUUUUCAAAGAGCUAAGGCAGAAAUAAAAUGUCCGCUCUAUGCCCAUCCGAAAAGAUGACGAAGUCCAGGUUGUCCGGGGACAUUAUAAAGGCCAGCAAAUCGGCAAGAUGACGAAGUACAG